rnacentral:rRNA from 1 species
AUACAGAGGGUGCGAGCGUUAAUCGGAAUUACUGGGCGUAAAGCGCGCGUAGGCGGCUACUUAAGUCAGAUGGGAUAUCCCCGGGCUCAACCUGGGAACUGCAUCUGAUACUGGGUAGCUAGAGUUUAGGAGAGGGAAGUAGAAUUUCAGGUGUAGCGGUGAAAUGCAUAGAGAUCUGAAGGAAUACCAGUGGCGAAGGCGGCUUCCUGGCCUAAAACUGACGCUGAGGUGCGAAAGCGUGGGUAGCAAACGGGAUUAGAAACCCCAGUAGUCC